ACUACUAUCCAUUUAGAUGAUUCGCAUUUCAAUUAUUCCGCGACUGGUUUUAGAAGAACGUUUCGUAGUUUACGAUCAUAUUUACGUUUUAAUCAUAUCGUGCGUUGUAAUUUAUUUGUGCAACGUCGUCCUAUGACAUUAUUAGUACUUAGUGCAUGAGUUGUAUUGAUCUAUUUGUGUCUCUCUUGGAGUGAACUAGACAAGAUUUGUCGCACCAUCAGUCUCAAGCGUCUCAAUUAAAAUUGCGCUACUUUGUUAUUGAGCUUUGUUGAACCGUUUCAUCAUCUCUUACAAUACAAUUCGCAGUAAUUAAGAUGACUGAUCAAACGGGCAAUUUUUUAGUGAUCAAUGAUCUGAGACCCGCUGUUCGCAUAAAAUUGGGCACAGAGGGUUAUUGAAAAUGAAAGUGGUAAAACGGACAUUAUAGUUGAAAGAAAAGGCGAUUAUUGAAUUGUUGAUAUGGGCGAAGAAACAAAUUUUUAAAUUCUGAGGGUACAACCGACGUUGGAGUACAAGCUACACUGACAACGAAUUGAGAAUCAAUUCUAAAUGAGAUAAAAGUUGUCUUGCACGAACGAGAUCAGCGAAAGAUGAGGGAUCAUCAACUUCAUCGGGAAGCAAUGAAUUAUCCCAGAGAGGAACAAAGCCCAUUUCUCCACUAGAAGUUAAACAAGCACAGUGUCUCGCGGGUAAACGGGAAACGAAACUUCAAAUACCACCGGAGGACGUCGUAAAUGGCACUUGUAA